AUCCUUAACUUUUCUUAUAUAUAUAUAUAUAUAUCAGGAUUAUAGUUUAAUCUAAAACAUUUGAUUUUUAUCUU
rnacentral:tRNA from 1 species